rnacentral:rRNA from 1 species
GACGAACGCUUGCGGCGUGCUUAACACAUGCAAGUCGAACGGAAAGGCCCUGCUUUUGUGGGGUGCUCGAGUGGCGAACGGGUGAGUAACACGUUAGUAACCUGCCCUUGACUUUGGGAUAACUUCAGGAAACUGGGGCUAAUACCGGAUAGGAGCUCCUGCUGCCUGGUGGGGGUUGGAAAGUUUCGGCGGUUGGGGAUGGACUCGCGGCUUAUCAGCUUGUUGGUGGGGUAGUGGCUUACCAAGGCUUUGACGGGUAGCCGGCCUGAGAGGGUGACCGGCCACAUUGGGACUGAGAUACGGCCCAGACUCCUACGGGAGGCAGCAGUGGGGAAUAUUGCACAAUGGGCGGAAGCCUGAUGCAGCAACGCCGCGUGCGGGAUGACGGCCUUCGGGUUGUAAACCGCUUUCGCCUGUGACGAAGCGUGAGUGACGGUAAUGGGUAAAGAAGCACCGGCUAACUACGUG